rnacentral:sRNA from 1 species
UACGAGAUGGGACGCAAACGCCGUC